rnacentral:rRNA from 1 species
ACAGCAGUCGCCACGGGAAUACGAAGGGGGCUAGCGUUGCUCGGAAUUACUGGGCGUAAAGGGCGCGUAGGCGGACAGUUCAGUCGGGGUGAAAGCCCGGGGCUCAACCUCGGAAUUGCCCUCGAUACUGGCUGUCUUGAGUAUGAGAGAGGUGUGUGGAACUCCGAGUGUAGAGGUGAAAUUCGUAGAUAUUCGGAAGAACACCAGUGGCGAAGGCGACACACUGGCUCAUUACUGACGCUGAGGCGCGAAAGCGUGGGGAGCAAACAGGAUUAGAUACCCCUGUAGUCCCUGUCUCUUAUACA